rnacentral:lncRNA from 1 species
UUUCGAGCUUCUUUUUUUCCUCACGAUCUCGGUAGUGGCAGUGGAAAUGAUUGUACGGCAAUCGACACCGCCUACCGCAGCCCCGUUGCUGGCGCUAGAACCCGAAGAAGUCCUCAGCGAAAUGAACGGUUCGAGAACCGAAUCCGGUGUCAUUAAACCGUCAUCAAAACCGGCUUCCGGUAAAGUGAGCACCUCGCAGUCGUACAAGUAUUCGGACAUCAUCCCCUCGCUUGUUAAAAUAUGAGAAACCUUGCAAUAGAUGGAACAGAAGAAAUACGGAUCUUGAAGGGCUCUAUGGCAGCUGAUGCAGCUAUUGCUUGAAUU